rnacentral:rRNA from 1 species
GAUGAACGCUGGCGGCGUGCCUAAUACAUGCAAGUCGAGCGAACAGAUGAGGAGCUUGCUCCUCUGACGUUAGCGGCGGACGGGUGAGUAACACGUGGAUAACCUACCUAUAAGACUGGGAUAACUUCGGGAAACCGGAGCUAAUACCGGAUAAUAUAUUGAACCGCAUGGUUCAAUAGUGAAAGACGGUUUUGCUGUCACUUAUAGAUGGAUCCGCGCCGCAUUAGCUAGUUGGUAAGGUAACGGCUUACCAAGGCAACGAUGCGUAGCCGACCUGAGAGGGUGAUCGGCCACACGGGAACUGAGACACGGUCCAGACUCCGACGGGAGGCAGCAGUAGGGAAUCUUCCGCAAUGGGCGAAAGCCUGACGGAGCAACGCCGCGGGAGUGAUGAAGGUCUUCUGAUCGGAAAACUCUGUUAUUAGGGAAGAACAAAUGUGUAAGUAACUAUGCACGUCUUGACGGUACCUAAUCAGAAAGCCACGGCUAACUACGUG